rnacentral:tRNA from 1 species
AUAAUUUAAAUAAAAUAUUAAUUUUGUAAAUUAAAUAUAAAUAAUUUUUUUAAACAUCAAAA